UACGUAGGUGACAAGCGUUGUCCGGAUUUACUGGGCGUAAAGAGCGCGCAGGCGGUCGAUCAAGUCGAGUGUGAAAGCCCCCGGCUCAACUGGGGAGGGUCAUUCGAUACUGAUCGACUCGAAGGCAGGAGAGGGUAGUGGAAUUCCCGGUGUAGUGGUGAAAUGCGUAGAUAUCGGGAGGAACACCAGUGGCGAAGGCGACUACCUGGCCUGUUCUGACGCUGAGGCGCGAAAGCUAGGGGAGCAACGGG
rnacentral:rRNA from 1 species